UACGUAGGGGGCUAGCGUUGUCCGGAUUUAUUGGGCGUAAAGAGCGUGUAGGCGGCCAAGUAGGUCCGGUGUGAAAACUCGAGGCUUAACCUCGAGAUGUCAUCGGAAACCAUUUGGCUAGAGUCCGGAAGGGGAAAGUGGAAUUCCUGGUGUAGUGGUGAAAUGCGUAGAUAUCCGGAGGAACACCAGUGGCGAAAGCGGCCACCUGGACUGUACCUGACGCUCAAACGCGAAAGCUAGGGGAGCGAACGGG
rnacentral:rRNA from 1 species